GAUGAACGCUGGCGGCGUGCCUAACACAUGCAAGUCGAGCGAGAAGUUUGAAAAAUGAGUUUUCGAACAAGUGAUUCAAACGGAAAGCGGCGGACGGGUGAGUAACGCGUAGGCAACCUGCCCCGUGCAGAGGGACAGCCUCGGGAAACCGGGAUUAAGACCUCAUGAUAGCGGAUUAUCACAUGGUAAUCCGGUCAAAGAUUUAUCGGCAUGGGAUGGGCCUGCGUCUGAUUAGCUGGUUGGUGGGGUAACGGCCUACCAAGGCGACGAUCAGUAGCAGAACUGAGAGGUUCAUCUGCCACAUUGGAACUGAGACACGGUCCAAACUCCUACGGGCGGCAGCAGUGAGGAAUAUUGCACAAUGGGCGAAAGCCUGAUGCAGCAACGCCGCGUGAGCGAAGAAGGCCUUUGGGUCGUAAAGCUCUGUCCUUGGGGAAGAAACAAAUGACGGUACCCUUGGAGGAAGCCCCGGCUAACUACGUGCCAGCAGCCGCCGUAA
rnacentral:rRNA from 1 species